rnacentral:rRNA from 1 species
UACGUAGGGUGCGAGCGUUAAUCGGAAUUACUGGGCGUAAAGCGUGCGCAGGCGGCUUCGCAAGUCAGACGUGAAAUCCCCGGGCUUAACCUGGGAAUGGCGUUUGAAACUACGGAGCUGGAGUGUGGCAGAGGGAGGUAGAAUUCCACGUGUAGCGGUGAAAUGCGUAGAUAUCAGGAGGAACACCGGUGGCGAAGGCGGAUCUCUGGGCCUUACCUGACGCUCAGGUGCGAAAGCUAGGGGAGCGAACAGG